AAUCAUGUGAGGCAAACAACUUCAUAACAUUCAAUCGCUAUAUAAGAAACCAAGAGUAUACAACAUGUAUAACGAAAAAUGUCGAAAUUUAAGAUAGCGGUGAUUCUCUUGGUUUUGAGUUGCUUGGUUUUGGGAGCCAUUGCUGGUCAUCCCGCUUACGAUACUUACCAUGGACCAAGAAGACAUGGAGGAUAUUACCGAGGUUCUAUCAGUAGGAGUCAUGCUUAUGGUAUCAAGCCUCAUCGCAGCUCUCAUAUCAGCCAUGGGGCUUACAAAAGAUUUCAUGGUCGAUACCACUGAUAGUAGUACAGUAUGGAAUGUCACGACUACCUUACGCUCCUUUUCUAAACUGGCGUUACGCACAUCUACAUCGUAUCAAGAACACUAUUGAAUUAAUUAACAACUUUAAUUAAUAAACAGCUCAUAUAAUGAUAAUAAUAAUGUCAUGUAACUUAUGCUGUUUGUUUUUGUGUUUAUGUACAAAUUUUCAUUUUAUUUUGUAAACGAAUGUUUUCGUUAAUAAAAUCGAAUUACGACC
rnacentral:lncRNA from 1 species